UGUCGCGCGAUUGCAGCGAUACGCAUGGAAAACUUAACUGGCGAAAUUAUUAAGCGAAAUUCAAAUGAGCUUAUCGAAGUACCGUCGAAGCGUCAACAAACGCGAAAAUUAAUCAAAUAAAAACCUCUUACACAAAAUGAGCAAAUGAAAAGUAUAAAAACCAAUCAACGUGGAAUUUAACUUUCCUGUUGAAAAAAAAAACAAAUGUAACUGACUACCACAGACCAAAACAAAACCUCAUCAAUCGCUUUCAAGCUUAACAACAACUACAUAAAUGAUGGUUGCUGUAGUAGUAGCCUAAAUCGACAAAAAUAACAACAAGUGCUGCGUAAAUAAUUUAGCUAAGCCAUUAAAUUUACGCGAGCUGUCGCAAAAAGAUUCUCAAACACAAAAUACAAAUACAUACACACAUCUCUACAUCGUUCGAGUGCGUCCAAAAGUGAAAAAAAUAUAGCCAGAGCGCAAAAUUAUCUCCGAAAGCAAACAAAAGAGAAAUUACAAGAUUUUUUAAGUGAAAAAAGAAAUAUGUGCGAUAAACAAAAGCACUGCCACAAGUAAAUUCAGCGAAACCAGAAACAAAAAACGCCAAAAAAUUUACUGUCAGCGAAAUAUUUCGACAAAAGAAAAUUCAAUUUAAAACGCGUUAAAAGAUUUGCGCCUUGGCUGGGUAGAGUGCAUUUAUGUUUUAAAAGGGAUGAAAGAGCAGCAAAAAAAACAAAG